UGGUUAUGGCCAAACUUUUAGGAUGCAGUCUCUCAUUCAUGGGGGACAUGAUCUUAAAAAUUCCAGCCCCUAGAUUUUCUACUACCUUUUUAGCAAUCAGUCUAUGGAACCAUUU
rnacentral:snoRNA from 1 species